AACGUUAAUCGGGGCAGGGUGAGUCGACCCCUAAGGCGAGGCCGAAAGGCGUAGUCGAUGGGAAACAGGUUAAUAUUCCUGUACUUGGUGUUACUGCGAAGGGGGGACGGAGAAGGCUAUGUUAGCCGGGCGACGGUUGUCCCGGUUUAAGCAUGUAGGCUGAUUGUCCAGGCAAAUCCGGAUAAUCAAGGCUGAGGUGUGAUGACGAGGCACUACGGUGCUGAAGUAACAAAUGCCCUGCUUCCAGGAAAAGCCUCUAAGCAUCAGGUAACAUUAAAUCGUACCCCAAACCGACACAGGUGGUCAGGUAGAGAAUACCAAGGCGCUUGAGAGAACUCGGGUGAAGGAACUAGGCAAAAUGGUGCCGUAACUUCGGGAGAAGGCACGCUGGUGUGUAGGUGAAGUCCCUGCGGAUGGAGCUGAGACCAGUCGAAGAUACCAGCUGGCUGCAACUGUUUAUUAAAAACACAGCACUGUGCAAACACGAAAGUGGACGUAUACGGUGUGA
rnacentral:rRNA from 1 species